rnacentral:rRNA from 1 species
UACAGAGGGGGCCAGCGUUAUUCGGAAUUAUUGGGCGUAAAGGGCGCGUAGGCGGCCAUGCGUGUCUUCCGUGAAAUCCCUCGGCUUAACUGAGGACGUGCGGAAGAAACUGUUCGGCUCGAGUCCGGGAGAGGGUAGUGGAAUUCCCAGUGUAGCGGUGAAAUGCGUAGAUAUUGGGAGGAACACCGGUGGCGAAGGCGGCUACCUGGACCGGUACUGACGCUGAGGCGCGAAAGCUAGGGUAGCAAACAGG